UACGUAGGUGGCAAGCGUUGUCCGGAUUUAUUGGGUUUAAAGGGUGCGUAGGUGGUCUAUUAAGUCAGUGCUGAAAUAUCCCGGCUUAACCGGGAGGGUGGCAUUGAUACUGAUGGACUUGAGUAAAGUUGAGGUAGGCGGAAUUGACGGUGUAGCGGUGAAAUGCUUAGAUAUCGUCAAGAACACCGAUAGUGUAGACAGCUUACUAGGCUGAAACUGACGCUGAGGCACGAAAGUGUGGGGAUCGAACAGG
rnacentral:rRNA from 1 species